rnacentral:tRNA from 1 species
GGGAAGGUGGCUCAGUGGUAGAGUGCUUGCCUUGCAUGCAUGAGGCCCUGGGUUCGAUUCCGCAGCCCCA